GAUGAACGCUGGCGGCGUGCCUAAUACAUGCAAGUCGAGCGAACAGACGAGGAGCUUGCUCCUCUGACGUUAGCGGCGGACGGGUGAGUAACACGUGGAUAACCUACCUAUAAGACUGGGAUAACUUCGGGAAACCGGAGCUAAUACCGGAUAAUAUAUUGAACCGCAUGGUUCAAUAGUGAAAGACGGUUUUGCUGUCACUUAUAGAUGGAUCCGCGCCGCAUUAGCUAGUUGGUAAGGUAACGGCUUACCAAGGCAACGAUGCGUAGCCGACCUGAGAGGGUGAUUGGCCACACCGGAACUGAGACACGGUCCAGACUCCUACGGGAGGCAGCAGUAGGGAAUCUUCCGCAAUGGGCGAAAGCCUGACGGAGCAACGCCGCGUGAGUGAUGAAGGUCUUCGGAUCGUAAAACUCUGUUAUUAGGGAAGAACAAAUGUGUAAGUAACUAUGCACGUCUUGACGGUACCUAAUCAGAAAGCCACGGCUAACUACGUG
rnacentral:rRNA from 1 species